rnacentral:rRNA from 1 species
AUUGAACGCUGGCGGCAUGCCUUACACAUGCAAGUCGAACGGUAACAGGUCUUCGGAUGCUGACGAGUGGCGAACGGGUGAGUAAUACAUCGGAACGUGCCCGAUCGUGGGGGAUAACGCAGCGAAAGCUGUGCUAAUACCGCAUACGAUCUACGGAUGAAAGCGGGGGAUCGCAAGACCUCGCGCGGACGGAGCGGCCGAUGGCAGAUUAGGUAGUUGGUGGGAUAAAAGCUUACCAAGCCGACGAUCUGUAGCUGGUCUGAGAGGACGACCAGCCACACUGGGACUGAGACACGGCCCAGACUCCUACGGGAGGCAGCAGUGGGGAAUUUUGGACAAUGGGGGAAACCCUGAUCCAGCCAUGCCGCGUGCAGGGUGAAGGCCUUCGGGUUGUAAACUGCUUUUGUACGGAACGAAAAGGUCCUUUCUAAUAAAGAGGGCUCAUGACGGUACCGUAAGAAUAAGCACCGGCUAACUACGUGCCAGCAGCCGCGG